UCGAUGAAAUUGAGUAUUCUACUGAACUCUAGGAUGAUAAUAAAGUCGAUUGGAUGGUGUAGCGUUCAUGUCGCAAAGCAAGCAGUCAUCAAGAAAUGCAUCUCCAUCAUGGGGAGACUUUGUUUCAGUGUCUAACAAAAGAGUUGAUGUCGAAUCCCCUUUUUGAUCUGUUUCCCAUUUCAUCCCUUGUUAAUCAAAUCAUGUAGCACUACAUCAUGGAGUCUGCAG
rnacentral:lncRNA from 1 species